AGAGUUUGAUCAUGGCUCAGGAUGAGCGCUGGCGGCAUGCCUAAUACAUGCAAGUCGAACGAGAGGAAGGAAAGCUUGCUUUCCUGAAUCUAGUGGCGAACGGGUGAGUAACACGUAGGUAACCUGCCCAUGUGCCCGGGAUAACUUCUGGAAACGGAUGCUAAAACCGGAUAGGUAGCAGACAAGCAUUUGACUGCUAUUAAAGUGGCCUUGGCCAUGAACAUGGAUGGACCUGCGGUGCAUUAGCUGGUUGGUGAGGUAACGGCCCACCAAGGCGACGAUGCAUAGCCGGCCUGAGAGGGCGGACGGCCACAUUGGGACUGAGACACGGCCCAAACUCCUACGGGAGGCAGCAGUAGGGAAUUUUCGUCAAUGGGGGGAACCCUGAACGAGCAAUGCCGCGUGAGUGAGGAAGGUCUUCGGAUCGUAAAGCUCUGUUGUAAGAGAAAAACGGCACUCAUAGGGAAUGAUGAGUGAGUGAUGGUAUCUUACCAGAAAGUCACGGCUAACUACGUGCCAGCAGCCGCGGUAAUACGUAGGUGGCGAGCGUUAUCCGGAAUGAUUGGGCGUAAAGGGUGCGUAGGUGGCAGAUCAAGUCUGGAGUAAAAGGUAUGGGCUCAACCCGUACUGGCUCUGGAAACUGAUCAGCUAGAGAACAGAAGAGGACGGCGGAACUCCAUGUGUAGCGGUAAAAUGCGUAGAUAUAUGGAAGAACACCGGUGGCGAAGGCGGCCGUCUGGUCUGGAUUCUGACACUGAAGCACGAAAGCGUGGGGAGCAAAUAGGAUUAGAUACCCUAGU
rnacentral:rRNA from 1 species